GAUGAACGCUGGCGGCGUGCCUAAUACAUGCAAGUCGAGCGAACAGACGAGGAGCUUGCUCCUCUGACGUUAGCGGCGGACGGGUGAGUAACACGUGGAUAACCUACCUAUAAGACUGGGAUAACUUCGGGAAACCGGAGCUAAUACCGGAUAAUAUAUUGAACCGCAUGGUUCAAUAGUGAAAGACGGUUUUGCUGUCACUUAUAGAUGGAUCCGCGCCGCAUUAGCUAGUUGGUAAGGUAACGGCUUACCAAGGCAACGAUGCGUAGCCGACAUGAGAGGGUGAUCGGCCACACUGGAACUGAGACACGGUCCAGACUCCUACGGGAGGCAGCAGUAGGGAAUCUUCCGCAAUGGGCGAAAGCUUGACGGAGCAACGCCGCGUGAGUGAUGAAGGUCUUCGGAUCGUAAAACUCUGUUAUUAGGGAAGAACAAAUGUGUAAGUAACUAUGCACGUCUUGACGGUACCUAAUCAGAAAGCCACGGCUAACUACGUG
rnacentral:rRNA from 1 species